GAUGAACGCUAGCGGGAGGCUUAACACAUGCAAGUCGAGGGGCAUCACGAGGUAGCAAUACUUUGGUGGCGACCGGCGCACGGGUGAGUAACACGUAUGCAACCUUCCCUGUACAGGGGGAUAACCCGGAGAAAUUCGGACUAAUACCCCAUGAUGAUAUUAUGGGGCAUCCUUUAAUAUUUAAAGCUCUGGCGGUACAGGAUGGGCAUGCGCGACAUUAGCUAGUUGGUAAGGUAACGGCUUACCAAGGCGACGAUGUUUAGGGGACCUGAGAGGGUUGUCCCCCACACUGGUACUGAGACACGGACCAGACUCCUACGGGAGGCAGCAGUGAGGAAUAUUGGUCAAUGGGCGCAAGCCUGAACCAGCCAUCCCGCGUGAAGGAAGAAUGCGCUACGCGUUGUAAACUUCUUUUCCAGGGGAGAAUAAUCCUGUCGUGACAGGAAUUGACGGUACCGUACGAGAAAGCCCCGGCAAACUACGUGCCAGCAGCCGCGGUAAAACGUCUA
rnacentral:rRNA from 1 species